UAUUAUUUUUUAAAAUUCUGCCCAUAGACUUCUAGCAUUUACCCAAAAUGAACUCGGUAUCUCACAAUAGGGGGCCUUUCCUCUACUAUUUCACAUUUUAAUAAAAUUU